UGGAGGCGUUUGUCGUCAGUGUUGAGGCCGUGCUGCAGCAGUUUACAGAGCGCCACCGUGCUGCAGGACAAAACAUGAAUAAAAACACCACCACAGGAGUUUGAAAUGAGUCGAAGUGGAGAAGAACUGUUGAUCCACAUGAAGAGGUGCUGCCUGCUCAUCCACUCAGUCAUAACGAACUCCAGGGCUGGCUUCCCCGUCGGCCCGGGCAGACUGCACAAGAACUCCAACAGAGGCUCCAGCUGGGAGUGAACCAGGAUGGCUCGAAGGAUCUGGUCCAGCUGUUCCCCAAGCUCUGUUCCCGCCCGAGAGAUGAGAGUGGACACCAGUCUACCCACGAACGCGGCUGUGAACUCCGAGGUCCGAGGGUCCAGCAGCUGGUUCACCACUUGCAUCACGUACCAGAGGCCACUGUUCCCCUGCUCGUCCCGCCACUGGGCAAUUUGCUCGAGGGCAACAGAAACAUAGGCCCGCAGACACUCACCGCCGUUCUAAAGAGAGGCAGAGAGUGAAAAUGUGAGGGUUUUUUUUUUUUUUUAUAACUUAGAUACACUAUAGUUUAGGAGGAAGAAUUGAAAUGCAGCCUUAAAUUGGGGGUUUACCUGCAUUAUUGUAUUGUCGUCGGUCCGUAAGGUGCACUGUGCCACCACAGGGAAAGCCUGGCACACAAGCAUCUCUGACAGAGGGGGUUUGGUGUUACGCACAACUGUGGUCAGAAUAUCCAUGGAUGUCUGUGGUAGAAAGAAAAACCCUCUUCAGGUUUGAUUUGACAAACAAAAACAACCUAAAGUUCAAGAUCGGAUCAUUAAUGGUACGUACUGCACAGAGACCGGACGGGAUCUUGUCAGGGGGAGCCUGCAUGAUGCUGACCAGCGUUGGGAUGAGCCGCAUCUGCAUGGGACCCUGGCAGCCUUCGAUCUGUGCCAGCUCUUUAAAGAUGUCCUGAGCAAGAGAUGCCACCACGGGGUCUGAGGAGAAGACAGCGAGACACGGAAAAUAGCGAUAGUGAGGGGGCAGAUCUUGUUCUCUGCGCUGGUGGUAAAGGCCGAGUCGACUGUGCAGACGAUGCAUAGUGUCUCCAUGACCAGAGUGAGCACCUCUGAGCUGAACUGGGCGGCCAGUUGAACCAGUCCCUCCAGAAUGCUGGGCAGGAAAGGCUGCAGGACAUGGGUGCUCUCGGACAGCUUCAGCUGAUCGCAGUACCUGCAGAGUACACAGCAAUGAUGGCUCUGACUGCAGAGAUGCGGACGGAGGGCGGCUGGCUGUCGUGGAGCCCGCUGACGGUGGCCUGGAGGAACUGCUGGAUGAGCUCAGGAGACAUGGCUGCUGUGAAGCGACUCGCCGCCCACAGUGCCCGACCAAGGAGGAACGGGGAGGCCGCUGCUCAGAAGCCCAACACAAAGGCCAAGAGAAGACGAUAAUGAAAUGGGUGUUUAAAUUUAUAUCUUUUCUACUAAUAGUGACAAUAGGCCUUCCUAAACAUUUACCAAUAACCAUACACCUUGCUAAGGAAGAUGUGGUUUCCUCUUGUGUAACUUUAAAUCUCCUCAAGCUAGUCUUAAACUCACCUGCCAGGUUAAGGUCAGCGAGAAUAACGCUGGCCAGGAAACCAUGCAUGUCAAACUGGAUACGGCCGUUCUUCACGUUCUCCGUUAUGAUGGUUUUGACUGAACCGAGGGCCAGCAUACAGGCUUCAUGGAUUUUCCACCUGGUCAAUCAACCACAGUAAAAGCAGUGCUCAUUGCCACUGUUCCUUGCCUGCUCUGCCUCCUGGAGGUGUCUGGUUGCUGCUGCUGCCAGUGCUGCUGCACUCUCAUUCUGAAACUCUGCAGCUACAGUCUGUAAGCAGAAGUCAGAGGUUAACGUCAUAU